GCCGAAAUAGCUCAGGUGGGAGAGCGUCAGACUGAAGAUCUGAAGGUCCCAGGUUCAAUCCCGGGUUUCGGCA
rnacentral:tRNA from 1 species